GAGACCCACGCCAACAGUUGCCAGCUCGUCCUCCGGGAUGGAGGGGACACUGUUGGGACCGCCUCUGCUAAAGAGGAGGAAGGAAUGGGCAACGGUAGGUCAGCAUGCCCCGAAUUAUCCGGGCUACACGCGGGCUACAAUGGGUGGGACAAUGGGUAUCGACACCGAAAGGUGAAGGCAAUCUCCUAAACCCAUCCCUAGUUCGGAUUGUGGGCUGCAACUCGCCCACAUGAAGCUGGAAUCCGUAGUAAUCGUGUCUCAAAAUGGCGCGGUGAAUAU
rnacentral:rRNA from 1 species